UUCCAUAAAGUUAUCCAGGAAAAAAUGCCUUGUACCAUUAGGUGGUGCUGUAUAUCACUUCCACUUUUCAAAGGUUUUUUUUUAAGUUUUUUUGAA